rnacentral:misc_RNA from 1 species
CGAAAAUGGGACAAGCUCAAAGGAUCACAAAUGAUGAAUGAGAACAAUAUUGCAUCUAAGAAAUUUGCAACAUCUCCAACCCACAGGGCAAAUUCUUUUAAUGAUCAAUCGGCCUCUUCAUCAUUGUAAAUCAUGAGCUUGACCCCACAUUACCUUAGGUAAAGAUAUAUCCAUCAAAAUGCUUGACCAACAGUAAUUAAUUCACCAUAGCCCUUGAUGAACUACUUGUAUCCUACUUCUAACAUCAGAUGGCGAUAGCUGCG